AAACUCUCUGAUGUCAACCUUUCUGACAUCAGUAUGUCCUUUGUGACCUCAAUAGUAUCAAUGGGAUCACAUCAGAGGGAGAAAGAAGCCAUGUGAAAUAACUCAUUAUGACCAGAAUGGAAGAAGAAAACACAAGAAGUUGUUCAAGGGAAAAAUAUUAGCUGACAGGAAGGAGAAGUGAUACUCUGAAAAUCUAUCAAGUUUUGACUAUGUUUAAGUCACCCUGUGAAACAGAUGUUGCUGUCAUCCUCAUGCUAUUGACAAGCGAAGCUCAGAGAGGCCCUGCUAGGAGCUCAGAGUUCCUGGUUCAACCUUUUAUUGAAGGCAGGCGUUGGACCAACUUGAAGGAAGCAGAAGUUCACUUCAGUGCCUUACACUAAUUGACAAAGACCUGCGUUUAUGAAUAUGUGUAAACUAUCAAGUCUAGCAGACAUGAGAGAGACAUCAGCUAUUGAGGUUGACCAAGAUGAAGAAAUAGAAUACUUGACUCUGGAAAACAGAAGUAAAUUGAGAGUUAACAAAGAACUUCAACAAAGCCUAGUUAUAUUAGUGAUUGGGACCAUAAAAAACAAAAACAGCAAAAAGAUAUAGGCUGCUAUAAAGAAGACAUCAGAGAAACAAAAACAAAGUUCUUUUAAAUCAAUGAUUUUCAACUGGAGGGAAUUUUGCCUUCAUUGGGUAUUUGGUAAUCCUACCACAUACAGGACAGUCCCACAACACAAAUUUAUCCGCCCUAAAGUAUCAGUAGUGCCAGCCUUGAGAAAUGUUGUCUAAAUUAAAACUAUUACUGCCAUAAUGAAAGAAAUGUUCUUUAAAUUUUGGAGGAAACAUUUAAAAUAAUCUUUUGGAGUAUAAAGUAAAAUAUGAAGAGAAAACAUAGGAGAGUAAUUCAAAGACACAGAAGAUCAACAUAGAAGGAAUACCCCAAAGAGAAAACAGAGAUGGUGGAAGUGGGGAAAUAAUCAAAGAAAUAAUUUUCCAGUGAUAAAUAAAGGCAUGAGACAUGGAGUAGAAUGAAAGAAUAAUGACCCAUAAUUAUAAACAACUCAGAG
ensembl:lncRNA